GGUGCUCCUCCUCUGAGGGCGGCUGCUCCUGGUGGGGCCCUGGAUUCAGGCCACAGCUCUCAGCCACGCACAUGACCGCCUCUUGGCAGCUGAGUAGCAACAGAGACACCACCGAGAAGCAUUCUGUCCCCUGGCAGCACAAACUAGAGGCCCUGCAGGACGCUGAGAUAAAAAGGCCUCUCAGCACUGCUUCCUUUGCUCUCCAGGCAAAGGUAGUGCAACUUCCCCGUGCGAGUUGAUUUUUAAGAUCCUAGGUCGGUCCCCCAACACUUCACUGAAUGAUCGACUUGUCAGCUAAUUUGAUUGUUUUCCCUCUUGACAUUUGCAAGACAUAGAUUUUUCUGUGUUCUUUCUCUCCUCUGCCUACUUUGCCCCCUUGGAGGCUGUCUGGGAAGGUAUAUUUCCCUCCACACUGUUAGGAAAGACAGGGGGUGGGGAGGUGAUACUCCCAGCAGUCAUUUGUACCUAAAAAUAAGUAAAUCAAGCUAAUAUGCUAGAGAUUCAGAGAGAGCAUCGGAAGGUUACUCACCUGUGCAGGGAAAUUGGUUGAGGCAUUUCCAUUUUCCUCUCAACAGGGUAUAUAUAAAUUUUUCUUCUUCCUCGUGCUCGCAAACCCAAAAGACAUCCUCGGCCAGAGUUGAUUAGAGGUUUAUAAGAAGAACCCCACCCAAAAAUGUUUGGAAUGCACCGACUUCUAAUGACUCUGUUCAGCCCCUCUCAACCCUAAGCAGAAUUCCCGAAGCUAACACAAAUGAUCAGAUAAGGAAACCUGGCCUUUGAAGCAGUCAAGCCGGUUCUCAUUCUCACCAUAAUUCCUGGAGGUCACAGAUUGGAGGAUCUAAACAAGGUGGGACCAAUGAGAUUAGAUGACCAUUUCCUUGCUUCCUACGUUUUGAAAUUCCGGGCCACUUGCUGGAGAAGGCCUUUAAGACAGGAGAUCAGACGACAGAUCUACCGGAUAACAUAGCUAUGCAAAGCUUCUGCGUGUCAAGAUGCGGGGAAUAUAACUAUGGAGACGACUGUAGAGAAACAUGUCCCUGUAUCAGACAAGUGACAGGCCAACGCAAGUUUUGAAGAAUUAUGAUUGAUUCCUCAAAUAAUUUUUCAGUUUUUAUUUAAAGGAAAGUCUUAGCAUUUGAUUUUGGUUUCUGAGAUCCUUCCAGACUGAUUUCCACAGUGGCGGUCCUAGUUUUCAGUCCCAUUAACCGCAUGGAUGACAAUUUGGCACUGGACAACCAACUGCUGUGCAUUUACCUGGAGAAUUUAAGCUCUUCUGUUCCCUACUUUUCUCAGUUGCCUGUUCUUCCUUGUGGAAGCUUAAGGCCUCACGGUCUUUUCUUUUAGCAUGUUUGUUGGUGUCUUUCUUGUUCAGCUUGUGUGGGUGGUUUUGUUGGUGAGACUUUGCCUGUACAGUUUCCAGGGUUAAUCCGAGAAAAAAAUAUAAUAUAAUAUAUAUAUAUAUAUAUAUAUAUAUACGUUCAAACACUAUGUAAAUAUAUGCUAUGUAUUUUGAUAUGAUCCAUUUCAUACUGAAAUAUUUUAAAAUAGAUUUAAAUACAGUAAAAUAAAAUAAUGAGAGGUGUAUAGGCUCGACACAAAAACAUGUGUUGAGUAACCGAAAUAAUAACUUGAGUGAAUGAAGGAAAUGCAUUUUUCAGUAUAAGAUCCAUUUUCAUGAAAAUGUCAAAGAUAUAGUUUAAAAUGUCAAAUUUGUCAGAAUUCUCUGCUAACUUUAACAAUGCAUGUGGUGGCUUUCAGCUUCUUACAAACAGAUCAGUUGUAAGUUCUUUCAUUGUUUCUCUGAAACGUCUUUCGUUUUUAAUCUUUCUCUGAAAAGUACAACUAACUUCAGUAAUUGGCUAGCAUCUCACUGCCCACCUGGAGUGAGUUCCCAGUUGAUGGAUGGGGCCUAGUACUCUCCUGGUUCUGCACUGCGAGGCGAUCUCCAGCUACAGCAAUGCCACACAAUUGGUUUUGCUGCAACCCAUGACUUUAAAGAAUAUGACCGGAAAUGAGGCCUCUAAUUUCUCAAAUCAUGCCAGUGAAUAUAGCAUCUUCUCAGCUUUAUAUCCUAAUUAAAAGAGUGUCAUAUCUAGAAAGGGUUUUAAGUGACAGUGUUUAUCAAGCUGUUUGCUUAGUGAUCUCUUUAGAUGCACUGUUAUAAAAAAACUGUCUUAAUUAAGGUUAAUUGAAACAUAAUUAAAGUCACUGCUGAUGGAAAAGAUCCCAUGAGUGGUACCACUGUGAGGAUCCCUAAUGUUCAUACUGGUAGACUAAGGCACUGCAAGAAACCAAAUGUCAAACCACGCUUUGCUUCCAACAUAGGAUAUGCCUUGUGCUCCUACCUGCUUGGAGGAGUGAAUAUUAUUCAUGUACUUGGAAAUCUCUUGUGCAAUUCAUUUUUAAAAUUAUUGUAUAUAUUUCAGAUUUAUACCAUUUAUGCUUUGAUGUAGGAAAGAAGUUAAAUGCAGCAAUACCAAGUAACACAUCUAUCAUUUUACAUAGUUUUCUUUUAAUUUGUGUUGUAAAAGCACUAUUUAUAGUUUUAUAAAGAGUCUCUGAAGCCGGAUGUGAUACUGUUCAGCCAGGGUCCUAGCACUUGGGGGAUGAAGAAGACAAUCAAGAGUUCAAGGGCAGCCUCAGUUACACAUCAAACCAAGGAGACAUAAGGUUCUACUUUAAAAAUCAAAUCAACGAGAGAAACAGAGUCCUCAUAACAUUUUCUCUAAAGUGCAUCUUCGUUCAUACCAACAGCGUGAAUGAGUUUCCUUUUUUCACAUCCUCACCCGCACUUUCAAUACCAGCUCAUCACUAUUCUCGUCCCUGCCUCUUUGUUUAUUUCAGUCAUCUAUUCAGGCCUCUGAGGUAUGAUGUGCCAUCUAGAUAUGGUUUUAACUUGAUUUUAUUAAUUGAUUAUAAAUGCUUUAUAGCCUUUAAUGUGCUUAUGUAACAUUUUUUGUGUUUCCUUCAUAGGAAUAUCUAAAUACUUCCUUUUCCAGUUUUAAUUGAACCAUUUACAUGCAGACAUUGCCAUUGACUCACACUGUGCAAACGUCCUUAUCAAAGCCGAUGUCAUGCAAGGAACAGGCCUUAUGGCUUUUUUCAUUUAUUUUUACUUUUUCAUAAAAUAUCUUUGAUCCUAUUCUUUUUUUUCUUAAUUUUUUCUAGCUCCUCCCUAUAUUCAACUCCAUGCUCUCUCUCUUUUCUUUCUCUCUUUCAAAAAGAAAAAGAAAAACCAACUUAAAACACAAACAAACAAAAAGUCAUAAAACCCCUCAGAGUCUUAUAACGUAUUCAGCUUAAAUUUAGAUUUUUAAUUCAUUGUGUUGAAUUUUGAGGCUGAUGAUAUUUCACUUUCAUUUUUCCAUGUAUGUAGCUUUGUCAGUCCAUUUAUUGGUAACACUACCAGGUCCCUGUUGGGUUUUCUUGACACGCUGUUAAAAACUUGACUUGCUGAUUUCAUAUGUUCUUUUUAUAUGUCUAUUUUUAUAGCAUUACUACAUCUAAUCAUGGAUAAUUUAAAUGUAUCUGUUCAUUUAUGUAUCCUUUUUAUGUUUUAAAUAUGCAUGUAUUUUAUUUUAUGUAUAUGAGUGUUUUGCCUACAUGAAUAGCUAUGGCUACCCGCCUGCUCAGCUCUGGAGUGUCAGAUCCUCCAGGACUAGAGUUACAGAUGGUUGUGAUCCAACAUGUCUUCUGAGAACUGAACAUAGAUAGUCUACAAGAGCAGCAAGCACUCUUAGACACUUAUCCAUCUUUUCCUUAACAUCUUCAUUAUGUUUUACAAUUUCAUUGUACAUAUCUUUUGGUUACCUGCAGGAUAAAAUCAACUAAACCUACUGUGUGAGCUUCUUUUCUUUGCAAAAAGAGAGAAAUGGAGUGGGUAGGAAGGUGGACCUAGAGAAAAGAAACGCUCUUUUUUAUUGGUCAUCUCUAAUGUGGUGGACUAAAAAGAAGACAGUAACUUGACCCCACAUCUGUCUGACUAGAAAGAAAAGAGUAGCUUAGCCCCACAUCUGUAGCAUGUAUAAAGCAUGAUAGAGGACACACUAAUGGUGAGAGAAGUCAGAAUACUACUUAUCUGCACAUUUUUCCACACAGCGUGAAAGCACCUACCUAAGAACUGACUUAGAAGCCGCAGACUACAGAUCUCUCAUGGGUGGUAAGGGUAGGGACUAGUUUAAAGUUCUUUUGUUUUUUAAUUUUCCAUUGUAUUUUUCAUUAAGAUUUUUGAAGGAUGUAAUAUAACUGACUUGCAUCAAAAAAAAAAAAACCCCACAAAUAACAUUUAAGUCGAAAUAUAUUCAAUUCCUUGUAAAAUAAUUCAGUUGAACCAUUUUUAUGAGUUUAUAAAUAUCUUGACACUAAUUUAUGUGAAGACCUAGAAGAAAUGGAUCUUAGAGCCGUGCUUGUUUAAGACUUUAUACUGAGUAUGACUGGGUAAGAUCGUGUGUUAAAUUCUUCUUUCUUGGAUUUCUGAAGCAGUUGCACAUCUGUUCACUCUUCUCUAGUUGGCUGUUGCUUUAUCAUUGUUUCAGAAAAUAUCUCCUUUCUGCUCCUCAGAGAGUUAAAAUGCUCAUAAAUUUGUAAGGUAAGUUUUUGGCAGGCCCAAUCCAGUUUAGCCUUCUGACAUGUUUAGAUAUUCUUCAAAGAAUACUUUACUGCUUGAGAGAACAGAUUUAUGGCUCAAUAGAGAAAGAAUAAUACAUGCCAUGAGGCACAUUGCUGGUUUUGUGUUCAGUUUGAAUAUGUUGGGUUUUUAGCCGAUGAACCUUUGAUAAAAUUAGCCCUUCAUUUUUUUUCUUGGCUCUCAUUGCAAUCCAAAAUGAAAAGCUCAAAGCCACCAGUAGUGUAUGUUUCAAUAAAGUAGCCAUAUAAAGUUCUUUUCAAGGUAGGCAGUUGAUGCUGCUCAUUUGGGGACUGAGCGGUUGUGACCACUAAAUGCUUGGCCUUUCAUUACAUGAUAACAAUGAAAAUUUGUAAAAAUUCCCAUCUCCAAAUGAAGCUGUGUUAUUAAUUAGAAGUAAGAGGUUCAGUGUCUGAGCUGGGCUGCCAGGUGGGUCUCUUUAUCUAAUGCUGCUUCUAACUUGUAAGACAUUGGAUCACAUGCUCAGAAGGCCAAGAACGUAUCACGAGACAGGCAAAUGUUUUUAAGCUAUUUAUAAAUUUUAAAUCUAAAAUGAUUUUUCAGAAUUUUAUUUUUCAAAACGUUAGUAAAUAUGUGGAAUUUGGAGAGCAUAUAUCUAAGCUAAUGGUGUAUGUCAUCAUCCCGUGAGCCGCCAAAAUUUACAAGUUUGUAGGAAAUUGAGAAGCAAUUCUAGGCAAAUUUGUGUGCCUCUUGCCCUGCUGAACAUGACUAAAUAUCCUUAAUGACCUUGAAGGCUGUUCAGGAUUUCGCCAUCACUCCCUGUAAUCAUUAAAACAAUGCUCUCAUUGAGCUGACCAACAACCCUUAACGGAAGGAGGCAUUGGCUGGUAUGCCUUUAUGCUGUGACACACUCCACUUACGUAUUGAACAGAAUCCUGAGAAAUCUGUUCACUAUUCACUCACCACAUACAUCUCAAAGUAUAGCACGAGGACACUGAUGACUUUUCCAGUGUCCCGAUAUUAGUGUUCCGUACGUCAGAGUUGCUAGAUGGAGCAUCUAUGGCGGGGGAAUGUGUACAUAGUUCUUAAAUCAUCUUAUUGUGGAGUUUCUUUCACAGGAAGCUGUUAGGAAAAAAAAAAAAAGAAAACACUUUCAAUGAUGUCAUUCCCCUUUCUAAUUAUAAAGGAGUACAAUUCUUUAUGGCUCCUGAUAAAAAUGUCAAGAAUUAAUCAGAACAGUGCAUGUUAGUCCUAUUUUCUAGGUAGUUUUUGCAUACAAAUUAAAUAAUUCUAAUUUACAUAACUGAAAGAAUGCUAAUAAUUAGAGAAAAAAAUCUUGACCAUUAAAAUUUUCUUUCCCGAUGGGCAAUACAGUAAGUGGAACAUUUCUUUGAAGUAAGACAGGAGAAAGACAUUAGAUUGAAUCAUCUGAAAUUGCCAUUUCUGUGGGUCAGUACUUGUUGCGUAUUGGCAAUUUCAUGUGGUUCAUCUAAACAGGUGACAGGCAGAUGCUUUUAUGCUAUUUAUAAAUUUUAAAUCUAAAAUGAUCCUGUAAGGACAACUUGUCUUUCACAUGAAGGCUGAGAUUUCCCAGAGAGCCAUAUUAUAGUGAUUUGAAUUUAAAAUAAUCUGUUUGUGAGAAGGCAGAGAAAAGGAGAGAUGUAGCCCUUAUCUCCUGUUAGACUGGAAAACGAAGUGCAGAGCCUGUCAAUGGAGUCGUUUUAUGAACUCCCAACACACAUUUGAAAAGCAAGGGUAUUCUUUUUCCUGAUAUCCAAGAUGGAUUUCAGAGAACUGCAUUAAAAUGGGAACCGUUUGGGGCGGCUUUCCCCUUUAUAGUUGGUUUCAAGCUACAAAAAAUCUUUGUAUAGGUCUCUGCAUUGGCCUAAGGAUGUACAAAGCUUUGUAUAAAUUUUUGCAUCAAUUUUGUGCAUUAAACGGGUAACCGUGAUGGGCUUUUGUUUAUUGCUCAUUUCAAGAUAUGCAAAACCUUGUUCUUAUGCAAUUAAAAUUGCUCAAUUGCAACUUCACAUUGAAAUGAGACCUACAUUUCCAUAGCCACUUAAACAGUAUACCAAACUAUGCCUAACUUCAAGGAAAUCUAUUUAAAUUGUUAAAAGAGUUUAAAUGCUUUGAACAUAAUUUCUAUAUCAAAAUAUUUUCGUAGUCAUCAGUAAUCUGGAUCCUUAAAUAUCUAUAUACUAUAUCUGAAUAAACGAGGUGUGUGUGUGUGUGUCUAUAUGUGUGUGUGUGUGUGUGUGUGUGUGUGUGUGUGUUUUGAACUCACAUCCAUAAGAAAUUUCAGAUAAUGGUUAAUCUGAGUUCAUACCUCUAGUGUUGUUCGUUUUACAGGGCACGUUUUUAAAUGCAGGCACUUACAAUUAAGAACCAAUUCAGUCCAAGCUAAUAAUUCAACUUUAAGAAUUAUACAGGUAAAGCUCUGUACUUAUAUGGCAACAUAUACUUGAUAUAUUACUAUCUAACUAUCAUGUAAUGUCCAUCUAUCAAGGUUUUGCAUAUUUUCCUUAGACAAAAGGAUUUACACCAUAUCAAUGUCCCAAGUAUCAAACGUGGGCUUUAUAUGCCUCAACUAAUUUAAUUGUCACAGCUCUACUAAGAACUAUGAUUCCCAUUACCUGUCCAUGGCUAUGAAGAAUCAAGUAGUUUGUGAUUAGAAGUCAGAUCUUACAUAUCAUAGUACAAGAAUUGCUCUGAAAUGCAUAAUGCAGUCAAUUUAGACACUUUGAAAUGUCCAGAAAUAAUGUUUUAUAUUUUAGUAACAACCUGUGAACUUUUCUAAAGCAUCGAUUCUUAUUUAGAAAAUGAGGGUAAUGGAGAAACUUCUGGACCAAUCAUCCUACCAGGAAUACUGAGAUUCUACCCUAUGGGAGGCAGAGUGGAUAAGGAAAGUUGCAGGUUGUACAUAAAAUACAAAAAGCAGUUUGAAGAGUAGCAGAUAUCCUAAAUAUUACUGUUCUACUAUAGAUUUCGUAUUUCCUUUAGAAGAGAAAAUCAAAUGGGAAUCAGGAGAUUUGAGGAAAUUUUGACAUUGUUUUUAUUUGGGUGAGCUCCACAAAGUAGAAAUAUGGAAGAGAUGGCCAGAAGUAGGACAAGUCCUGAUGAAAUAACGGAGAGUGAAGAGGAUGGAGUUUGUGGAGCCUGAGUCACCACUGUACACUGAAUGUACUGUAGAAAGAGGCUUGCUGGGAAAAUAAAGAUGAAGUAUUUGAGAAUACACUCUUUUUAGCAUAUAUAUCACUUGAAUCUGGUCACUCUUCUUUUCCCAGAAGCCAGAAGCCAGAAUGUACAUACUUGUUCAUGAAUGAACAGGAAGAGAAAAGUUCUUAAUUGCAGUCCCUCUUAGCUCAAAAAGGUUUUCUACUUCCCGAUUUUGCUUAGUGAAGAUCUUUUUGCCAUUUAGAACUUUUUUAAUGUCACAGCUUUAUCCUGGUAUUACCAGCAUCACCUGCGAGCUUGCUAGAAACACAAAUCUUUGCUCCCCAUCUUCGACCCAGUGAACUGAAAGCUGUACUUUAAUAAGACCAUUGAGCAACGUUUAUAUACAUUAAAGAAUCAUGGAUGCAACAAAAAGAUAAGUGCCCAGAAUGAAGGUCUGACUGAGGGCUUGAGUCUUGCCGCUUCACAGACUUUAAAGAAAGACAGACGUAUUUGCAGAAUCUCAGAAGAUAGAGCUCAGAGAGCACGAGGAUACGACUUAGGCAAAUCAGAGCUUCAAAAGUGAUCCAAAAGUAAGGGAAUUUGCAGCACAAUCCAACAACACUUGAGCAAGCUUGCAGCUCAGCACAGAAAUAAAUACAUUGAGAUUAAAAUAGUUUAGGAAAAAUGUUGGAUUCUCCUACAUUAUGAUGUUUUCAUUCUUCCACAGAAUUUUCUCUUAAGGACAUCUUAAAAUUAUCUUAAGCUUAUUGUUACCAAAGGUAAUGUUAUGAACAGCAUUAAGUCCCGUGACUUCUCUCUUCUGAGAUAUGAUACUAAGUUCUUUUUUUGUAGAUGGCUUAGAGGUUUUAUUAGCGUGCUGUGUUUCCAGAUUACCCCAUGAACCGUUGGUUUGAGUUAGAUUUGUAGACUUAUUUGGGCAGUUUUUACAUCAAUGACAUGUAUUUGUCAUGAGGAGCUGUAUGUGAAAGUCGAGCAUUGUAGGCAGGCAAUUCCAUUCUGAUCAGUUUGUUCCCUCAACUUCUAACAGCGUGUAUCAAGCUUGUUCUUAUAAUCAAAGCAUGAAUCCCCGAGGUUUUCAAGGCCAGUCCUCUGAUAUUCAGUCCAGUACUAUCUCAGUGACUUAUCUACUCUAUUCCACUGACCAAAGCAAGCCUCAUACCAGCACAACACACUCACAGGUGGAGAAAUACAUAGGAAAUGCCCUGACCUCACACUGCCAUCACAGCAACUAUCAUGAUGAGGAAAGUUAGUUCCCUUUUCCUAGUCAAUCUGCCAUGAUUUUAAAAAAAAAUCUGGAGUCUUUCAAUGAGAGGGUCCAUGUUCCAUUCAUAUUGAUUUCUCUAAUACCAUCUUGUUCAAUACACAUGGCGUUUUCAACAUUUAAUGAACAUCUUGGAAAAAUUAUACUUGAUCUUAUUUUUAUCUCUAAAUAAUCUUUGAAAUUCAUGACCAGAAUCCAAAUUCUGUUGAAAUGUGAUGCUUAUCGUAUUCAUGAGGGGAUCAGACCAUGUCACCUUUAAUGUGCUACUUUUGCUUUUGAAUUAUUCUGAGAUUUUUUUUUGUACAAAAAAGGAACGCUCUGAAAGCAGUCUCUUUAGCUGUCUCCUAGGAAGGCAGAGAUUUCCACUGUGAAGACAUUUUCCUUCUCAGUACCAAAAAGUGAAGGACUCUAAGUUUGCUCAUUUUCAUUUUAAUGAUGUCUCCCUCCCUAGUCUAAAAUUGUUGAGAACUCCAAGAUUGCUCAUCAUUGAGGAUGACACUGAACCAUGUCCACAUAAACAGCUUUCCUAAACAGCACAUCUGCCAUCCUUUCUCUCACAUAGUCCCCUAGCCACAAGGUAUAACUCCCUAGAAAUGCAAAACCACUUUUCUUUAUCUAAUCGCCUCUCCAUAACUUGGCACCUUUGUUAAAAGAGGAUAGAUAAGAUGCAGGUCUCUUCUGAGUCAACCAUUUCUUGAUAUUUUUUCUCCUGCUUCCCCCAAAGCACUUUUGCACUUAAAGUUUUUCUAUAAAUUUGUCUCUUAUCAGUUUAAUUUAUAAGCCUCAGAUGCAGAAACUAAAAGGAACAAGGAAAAGACUGUUUUCCUGUACACUUAUAAAAAUUGUACUCACUAGGCUAUAGAAAACAAAAUAUUUUUGUACCUUUAUUGGAAAAUAAGCCUAUUCUAUUUUAGCAAAAUUUCUCACAAAAUUUUCCCUUAAUUGAUAUUAUAAUAUAAUUUAUAAAGAAGACUUUUGUAGAAACACUUAAAACUUAAUAGUAUCAGCUGUCAGCUUUACAGAGCCUAAAGAUAUGAGAGAGUCUCAAAUGGCAGAUUGCCUCCAUCAAAUUGACCAUUGGACACUUUCACGGGGGAUGUUUUUGAUUUGCUAAUUGAUUUAGGAUGGCUAAACCCAGUGUGGGUAGAGCUAUUCCUAGUCAGAAAUUCUUGGACUAUGUAAAAAAAAAAAAACAAACUGACUUUUCAAUUGUUCAGAAUUGCAUUGUUCAUCCUGGAUCUUUUUUGCUUCUAUAUGAAAUUUAAGGUUUUUUUUUUAAAUUUCUGUGAUGAAUUACAUUAGGAUUUUGAUGGGCAGUGCAAUGAAUCUGUAGCUUGCUCUUGGGAUGAUGAACAAAUAUUUUUCCAUUUAUCCUAAUAAUCCAUGAGUAUGAGACGUCUUUCUAUCUUCUUUACUGUUUUCAUAUUUGCAUUGAAUAAGUCAUUUACUUCAUUAAAUGUAUUUAUUACAUGAUAAUUCAUUUUUCAUAGAUAAUUGUGAAUGAUAUGGCUUUCCUCUGUUCUUUCUCUUUGUCAUAUGUAGCUAAGAAAGCUACUGACUUUUUUGUUUAUUUUCUAUUGUAAUUUGCUGAGUGUGUUUAUCAGCUGUAAGAGUUUUCAGGUGGUGUUAUGGCCUUUUAUAGAAUCAUGUCAUAUACAAAUAAGACUAUUUUGACUCCAUUUCUCCCCUGUAUUUCCUUAGCUUGUCUUAUGCCAGUAAGAGUCCAAUGGCUAGGUUGAAGAGGAGAAAGCAAAAAUGGACAUGCUUAUCUUUUUCUUGAUUUUAAUGGAAUCUCUGAAACUUCUGGAUGUAACGCCAUCCCAGAUUUCUAGUUAUACCACAAAACUAUAGUAACAAAAAUAAAACAGCCUAGCGUAGGCAUAAAAGCAGGUAAGUUCAAUCAUAGAAUAGAAUUGAGGAUCUAUAUAUAAGCCCACACUCCUAAGGAUACUUGAUUCUUUACAGUGAGAUCAAAAUAUAUACUGGAUAGAAGACAUUAACUUCAACAAAUAGUACUGUUCAGAUUUAAUAAUAUUGAAUGUAAAUUAAUAAAACCAAUUUCUUGUCUUUUACUCUGUAUAACACUCAACUUUAAAAAGAUCAGUGACCUCAACAUAAAACCUGAAACCUUGACUUUCAUAAAGAAUAAAGUAUGGAAUAUGCUUGAACUCAAUGACACACACACACACACACACACACACACACACACACACACACACACACAGGAUUUUCUGAAUAAUUCACUAGUAGUGCAGACAUAAGAAUAGCCAGUUGACUAAUGGAACCACAUGAAAUUAAAUGUGUUUGCACAUCAAAAAUACCAUUGUUCAAGUGAAGAAGUAGCCUAUGGAAUGUGAGAAAAUCAUCUAUGCAUCUGACAGAGGGUUACAAUCUAAAUAUACAAGGAACUGCAAAAGUAUAAACCCACAAAAACAAAAGACCCAAUUUUAGAGUUCCAAAAAAGAUGAAAUAUAUAUGGUUGAGAAAUAUGUUUUAGAAGUUCAACAUAUUUAGCUAUCCAGGAAAUGAAAAUUAUAAUGACGUAGAGAUUUCAUCUUAUAUAGUCAAAAUGGCUAAGGUUAAGAAACAUGACGACAAGCACUGGCCCAAAUGUGGAGGGAGAGGAACAGUUAGUCAAUCCUCGAUAGGAGAGAGCUGUUGCAACUUUUCUGGAAAUCAGUGUGUAAGUUCCUAACAAAGCUAGAGAGAAGAUCUCCCAAAGAUCCAUCUCUUCCACUUUUGGUGCACAUACACAAAAGACUAUAUAGCCUUUUACAGAAGUACUUGUUUAUCAAUUUUCAUUAAGUUUCUAUUCACAAUAGGUAAGAAGUGGGAACUGACCAGAUGUUUAUCAACAGAUGAAUAGAUAUCAAUACAAGAUGCAAUUGAUUUAUGAGAAUAUACACAUAAGAAAAAUUGAAUUAGGAAAUUUGCAGAUAAAUGGAUAGAGCUAAAGGGAAUCAUUCUGAGACGUAAUCCAGACUCUGAAAAAAACAAACAUUGUAUUUCUUCUCUCUCUCUCUCUCUCUCUCUCUCUCUCUCUCUCUCUCUCUCUCUCUCCCUCUCUCCCUCCCUCCUUCCUUUCCUCCCUCCUUCCCUUCCUCUUUCUUCAUUUUCUUUUUUCCUGUCUCUUAUCAUUGAAUCUUUAGAUAUGUACAUCUCUUUUGGAAUACUUAUAGAGGUCAGGAAAUUCGUAAGUGACCAUGAUGAAGGGAUGUUUUCAAGAGAGAAAAUAAAAGAAUACAAUGAUGUAAAAGAAGAAAUGCCAAUAAUGGAACAGGAUGCCUUAAAAGUGUUAGGGAUGAAAGAGUAGGGUAAAGGAGAGGAUACAGGGAAGAGAAGGCUAACACCAAAAAGCUUUUGAAACUCAUAUAAAACACUACCACUGCAGAAGCUUCAGAAAUAUAUAUAUGUAAAUUAGUUGUAAAUAUAGUUAUCCUAUAAUGGGGAAACAGUACCCCUAAGACCAGAUACAAAGUCCAGAAUGAGUUGUUGGCUAGUAAUGUGCCAUAGACCCUCCAUCAUCAUUAUUAAAGACUCUUAACAUUGCCUUUGGUUACCCUGCAGGAUUUGAUGCAGAUUUUCUGUUCCUGAAGACGUCAUAUACUUGAACCACAGACCAUGGGCAAAUCAAGCUGCUCUUGACUUGAAAGUUUCACCACUAGCUUUCAUGGUGUUAGAAGGUGCUAUGCAUGUGGUGGAGGAGAAAAUAAUCAGUAGUCUUACUCAGCUGUGAAACCUUCUAGGUGCAAUAACAACCUGCCUGGUAAAAAUAUGCUCAUUGGUCUAAAAAUAGCAAAAAUGUCAUUGGAGUAACCAAUGACUUUCUGAUUAGAUUUAAAUCCCAUUUCACAAGAACCAAUACUAGACUGGACCUAGAUUCUGAGGGGAGAACCUACUUUAAUGUGCUUAUGGGAAAGAGAAUUAAACCGGUUCCUAUGAACUUGUCAUUAUACCUGUAAAUUGAUACAUCUCUUCACCCUCAUCAGAGAAGCCCCUCUUUGCAGCAGGUAUUGACUAACACAGAGAGCCACAACUGACCAAGGUGCAGAGAAGUGGCUGAAGAAUGCUCAGCUUUAAAUGAGCCAUCUAUACAGUAACUGCUCCCCCCCAAGGUUCAGGGAUCAUUGUAAAAAAGGGGUGGAGGGGAUUUUUAGAGCCAGAUGAAGUAGGUGACUACACAGAAAUUGUGUUUUCUGGACACAGCAGUACAGUUGGACAUAAGAACUAAAUAACGUUAUGCCAGGUUGCAUAAGACCUGAGCAAGCAGAAGCGAGACAAAAUGAAUGCAUAGACGGUAAAGAUGUGCAUAAUCAUCUCUCCUUGAUAUGUUUUCUCCCUGUGUUCCUGCUUCAGUUUCUGACCUGAAUUCCCUCAGUGUCAGAUUGUCAUGUGCAAGUAGAAAAUGAAAUAUAAACCUUCUUCCUUAAGUUGUUUUUGGUCAUGGUGUUUAUCAAAGGAGGAAAACAAUAACUUGGAUAUCAAAUGGAAAGAAAAUUAAGGUAUAGUGAUUUAUAGAAUACUAAAUUUUUGGUAAAUACAUUAGGAAGGUAAAAUUAUAACUUAUGUUAAACAUUUAUGUUUAUAUUUUAUAAUUUAUAUGUAUGUGUUUCCAAAUAUGUGUGUGAACAUGUCCAUGUGUAUAUCUAGUUUAAAAUAUGAUUUUAACAAAUUUAGUGUAUUUUAAUUUUUAAUAUAUUUCUAUUUACCAACUUACCCUGUAAUAUAAAUGUGUAGAUAGGUAGACACAUAGAUACAUAGACAGAUAGACAGAUUCAUAGAUACAUAGCUACAGUAAUAGUGACAAAUAUGAAGAUGGAUUGAGAUAAGGAAAUCACUUGUCUUUUUAAAAUAAACAACACACAUUUCCACAUAAUUAUUAAAUCAAUCUCUUGCAUUCUGGCAGGACCACAGUAAAAUUAUCCAGAAAGUUUAUGCAUGGAAGGGACUGAAGAUUUCAUUUUUUAAUUCACGUAAGUCAUUUCUUCUGGAGAAUGUUACUAGGAAGAUCAUUUCAUUCCCAGCCAUCAGAGCAGUGCCAUACGGGGACAAAGACCUCAUAGUGCUGGCAUCACUUCAGAAGUUAAGAAAAAUCCUGAAGAAAAUGGCCCAUUGGGAGUGGUUUUUUGUAGAUGCAGAGGCGGGGAAGAGGACAUAGGCUCCCAAACAAAUCUUAGGAAGCCUAGCGACUUCAAACAGUGGGCAAAAGCUCUAGCUCUCAGUUACACAGGGAAUACAGACAUGGAAGGGGCUAUCUAGAAAGGAUGUUCAGUGGAGCUAGCAUGGCUCUGAUUCGAACCCUUCCCUGUGAUGUCACUACAUUUAGGGUGAGAGGUAGCAGAACACUGACAAUUUCAUUUUAUCACCACUUUCUACCUUAGUCCACAGAUCUCUUCUUUGUCUUCUUUUUUUCUUUUCUCAUGUUUCAUUUCCCCCAUCUGUUUUUGUCCAUAUUCCACCAUAGGAAUCACUGCUAAUUACCCAUUGAUUAGCAUGUAAUCCCUUCAAAAUGCUCUUGAUUUUGAAGGUCAAAACUUCCCUUAUGGUUGAACACCAUCCCUAUCAACUUACUCGUCAGUAUUCUCUUCUAAAUCAUUUUAAGUCCAUCCACUUUAGAUUCUUUCCUCCUGAUUUAUAGGCACGGGAUGUCAGGGACUUUCUUCGGGCUAGUUCAUUUAAAUAUUAAAACAUUUCAUUAGUGUGCAACUGCCUUUAUAUCUCAGCCUUCAUGGCCUGUGCUUUUACUAAAUUAAUAGUCAGCACUUCCAUAGCAUUUGUGAUUUUUCAAAGCAAUGCACAAAUAUUAAUUAAUGCUAAUGCUACCCUAAGAGAAUGCUGUAACUAGCUAACUGACUGAACUUUAUCUUGAAUUAUUUUAAAAUAAUUUUCAACUUGGGAGGGAAGUUGAGGGGAGCAUACAGGCAUCUGUAGUGUUUGGUGUCAUGUGCUGCUGCCUAAAUGUAAUGAUGCAGCAAACUGAACUGAAGCAUCCACAGAGGAUAUUAAAGUUGGAUCCAUCUAGAAUUAAUCAGCUUGAAGAAUUACCUGUUGCUUAAACUGCAGCAACCAGAACAGUGCUUGGAAUACACAUGUAGAGAGAAAAAUUGCUUUUAUUCUGAGCAUCUUUUUUUCUCCCUCGACUUUAAUUAAAACCUGACAAUUCUGUUAUCCCUUCUUAACUUUUUAACAUUAGUUCCAAAUGCAUGAACGAUCAUAAAUGAUUAAUAGAUUAAAAAUAAGAUUUGCUCUGAAGUCAAUUAGUAAGCACUUAUUAAUGCCCACUGAGUACCAAACUCUGGCUUCUAAGACAAAGAGAAGAAAAUAAGACGAAUACAAACAACCUGGCAUUAGAGUAUUUUCAGAUUUAGCUCUAAGUCAAGCAAACACAUAAAAAUUUAAAGGGAAAAAUAUCACUCUGAGUCUAUAUAGUAUAGUGAGAAAGGGAGGAAUCCUCUACAAAGUAGAGUGGGGAGGGUGAUCCUUGUGGAUGAAGAAAGAGUUGUAUGUCAAGGAAGCAUUAUAUUUGAAACUGGGAGCUUUCAAAUGAGCCUUGGGUAACCUUGAAACAUAAAGAGACCCUUGGAAUGGUCUUGUACAGGAGGUAGUGAGAUCAAAGGUCAGCUCUAAACUAAGGGUCAUGAUUAAUAGAUAAUGAAAGUUGGAAAUUUCUGGACUCAAUGGGAGGAAAGAGAUUCAUUUGAGAAUGGAGUAUAACUAGAAAGUAAUCAUCAAUGAUCAGAGCUUAAAAUCGUAAUUAGUCAGUCUAAAUGAACAUAACCCUUCCAAGGGACGUGUGGCAGGGUUUAACCAUUGACAAAUGCUAUUAAAUGUGUUGAGUGCUACUGAGUUUUGUGAUGACCUUUAAAUUGUUGUUCUAGUCAUCUUAUAAUGUUCAUUCUUUGAAUAGGCAAGAUCAACAGGAGUAUACAUGUUGGUACUUGAAUUGUCAGGUAGAUCCUUCCCUAUGAUUGACAUCCCCAAAUGAAAACCUGACAACCAACUGGCUGAUUUUCUGGCCACAGGGCACACCAUUCUCUUGUCAGACUAGCUGGUUUGGAUUCACCAUGCUUACUUUUAAAACACUGUAGUUACAAGGAUCACUGCACAAAAAGCCAAGGGUUCCAUUCUAGUAUGUCUGGUCCUAUUUGUGUCCAUUUUAGACAACCUGGCAUUAAGUAUCAAGACACAACGGAUGCAAUGUAGAAGUUGUGGUUGUUCCUUAUAUAAGGUUUGGUACUGGUCUCUGGUAGGCAACUGCGUUAGGGGGGAACUAGAAGCUGUGCUAUGAUUGGUAUGACCAUAAUCCUUCAUUUUCUCCUUGUUAUGUAGGCAGUGUCUGUUGGAGUAAUCUGGCAGGCACCUCCAUGUGCUGUUCCUGGUGCUGCAGCAUUAGGCCAAUAAAGGAAUUCAUUCUUCCCAGUGUAGUUUUGUCUGUCGUGACUAGAGAAAUUGUCAUAAUAUAAAAAGAGAUGAAGAAGACAAAGAGUUUUGGAUGUAUUAAAAAAUAAAACAUAACAAAACCAAACCAACCAAACAAACAAUAAAGCACAAAGGAAGGAGGUGGAUGAGACAGAACAGAGCCAAGAGUCUGAAAGGCAGAAAGUUCAGGGAGUAGAAUGUGAAUGACUGUAGGCUCUGAUCGCUUGAAAAGUCACAAGGACUAAGCGGGCUAAUAUGUGAGGCAGGCUGAGGUUAGGAGGAUGGCCCAGGCACUUGGGAAUUGGGAGGGAUCUCCAUGGCCUUUGUUUCUGCUGGCAAUGCUCCUAUGAGGUGAUAUGGAGAUUUAGAUAAAGUGUCACACCAGAAGCAUGUGCAUUGGGCCCUAGGUAAAGCUGGCAUAAAAGUUGAAGCAAAUGAUAAGGAAAAGGUCAAGUCUGUUCUUUUAAAUCUUCGUCGGAUCACCUGAUUAAACAUUCUACUGUCAUUGCCCUCAGUGUGUAUUUUCCUUUAGAAAGAGAAUACGUGUCACGAGGCUUGGAUUUCCCUUUCUUAGCUUAUGACAGAUUUCUCUAAAUGACCUUCCUGUGAGAAUAAAAAUAAACACACCAAAGCACUGGAAAGCUGAACAGGUUCAAAUUUAUUACCGAGCUGACAAUGCAGUGCAGGUGGAAGAGGAGGGUUGCAUGUGCUCACAAAGUAGCGAUCAAACCAAUGUCAGUUUGUUAUCCAUGAGAGAUGAGUGGCUAUAUUAAAAACAGUGGUAUCCCUAAACUUCUCUCGUGUCCUAAGGGAAAGGCUUUCAUAUUCUUUGGGAGAUACCAAGGAAGCAGAAAUGGAUACUUCAGUUCUGAAUAGUUAGACAAAUUUAGCUGACAUCUGAGACUACAGUUCUUCCAACACAAGAAAACAAAGCUGAUGGUCCACACACAUUGUUGGCUUCUCAUUACAAGGUAUGAGACUCCCAUGUCUUCAAAGGAUAUGAUGUAGGUGUAUCUAGGCAUGAGAAUUUCUGACAGGAAAGAAAAUGAUGCUCACUUGCCGUGGGAAACUAAGUUUGAGAAUCUGAUUUUUCCCUUAAAAUGCAAAUGUUCUUUGAUAUUACUGAGGCGGUGUCUUUUGGAACCAUUUCAGGACCAACUCCACUUAUACCGUUAUCCACCACCAGGUUAUUCAAGGAUCUGCGCACAAAGCAAGACUUAUGCUCUAUCCUAAAUCUGCCAGCAGCAACUGUUAAGAAUACAAAGUACCAGAUAAACAACUUCCAGUAAUAACUUGGAUUUAAGAUGCUGUUGGAGAAAGUUAUGAUAUAGUCAGAACUUAUUCAGCCUGUGUGUUUAAUAAACUUCCUCCAGCCCUCACCCCUUUUACUUUCCCGCUGUGGAGAGAAAAUGAAGUCAGUUUUUGUCCUUCCUUGGAUUCAUCUUGUAAACUUCAGUACGAAAAAUAAAAUAGAACAUGGAUUUCAUAUUUCAGGGGGUCCUGCUUAAAGGUUUUUGAAGCCAUGUGAGAUACUAUGUUAAGAUGCAACAAAGGGAAGAAACUGGAAAUUAUAGAAGCUGAUAUUUAAUACUUAGGGAGAACUCAUCCAAUGUCUGUGUCAAGGGGACAGAAUGUUUCAUUAACAAUUAAACUAGCUCUGGAAUAUAUUCUCUAUUAUGCACCUAAAUAGAAUAAAUAAAAGUAAGAAACAUUCAAUAAUGAUUGCUUUGACUAAAGUAGUGACAUGACCAAAUUUUGAGAAUCUCAUAAAGGACAACACAACAAUACAUUCCACUUGUUCAAGACAUGAGAUUUGUCCUCUGUCAAUGCCCAUAAAACAUUACAAUAAAAAACACAAAAACCUCCCCAAAUUGAUCAUGCAAAUAAUGUCACUAUGUAGCAUCCGGAGGGAGACUCCACUAUCACUGCACAUUACAAAGGCUUAAUGUCAAUCAACCAGGUUGUUAUGUGCUUUUCUACUCUCUCAAAUAUCCCUUACUUAGUAGUGUAAUCUCUAAGAAACGCUUUAUUCUUGUUUUUUAAUCAGUUCUAACUGUGGAGAAAUCUACUUUUAAGAUACUAAAUAAAUAUAUCGUAUAGUUAGAAUGCUUAACUGAGGGCUUAAAUGAAGGAAUCUAUAUAAAACACAUUAAUUAGUAUGUAGCUUUCUGAUUCUUCAGAAAAAUAGAAGUCAUGAUAUUAUAAAACUAUAUAAGCCCUCUUCACCCUUUGAAUCUCCAUUCGGGAUUUGAACAUGUGCAAGAGAAUAAAGUGGAUUAGAGUAAGUAACUUGCUGUCGUCACUGUGACAAAAAAAUGAUUUUCCUCUGGAUUUCUGGGCUUUGUAUCAUAUCAUAGGGAAUGAUGGCUAAGCAUUCUGGGAAUUGAGAUUUUUGUAGCGCUCUUGUGUGCAUGUAACACACCUUGGUUAGAUCCAUACCAUCACACACACACACACACACACACACACACACACACACACCAAUAAAUUUAAAAACAAACAAACCAAAAUGUCAGUAAGAUUUCCCAAAGUCGUGAAGUUAGUGCUGGAAUAGUAAUGAUAUCCAUCUCCUUUGGCUCCAUAUCGAGGAGUCACUGUUUUACAAAGUUAGAUAAAAAACAAAAGUCCUCCCACUUGGCACAAACUGUAGAUGAGUCUGACAAUGUAUUUAAUGUACUCAUCUCCACUGCUAUUACUGAAAUUGUUUCUGGCUUGUGCUAUUUUGCAUCAGAUGAAUUGGAAAGAAAACAAGCUAUUGAUUUUCCAAAUCUGCAAGUCAUUGAACUGUUGACAGUCAGCAGCACUACAAUCGUAGUUAUCACUAAAACAUUCCUCUGACCAUGAAGAAGAGAGGUCACUUUGAUUCCCAAGGUCUGUGUCAAUAUGGUUCAAAGGAUGACUGGAAUUAGCAAGGUAAAAGGAGGUGCAAGGUGGGCUAAUGAGAGAGAAGGGUAUUUUCAUAAAAUAUGUUCAGACACCGUCAAGAAAGAAAAUGUCUGGCAGAAAGUAGGUCAUGGCUCACUUUGUUACUAUUAUUUUUUAUGUAGAAGACUGUAGACCUUUUUUUUUUUUUUACUUUUUUUUUAUUAACUUGAGUAUUUCUUAUUUACAUUUCGAAUAUUAUUCCCUUUCCCGAUUUCCGGGCAGACA